ACAGACAACAGGCACAGACAACAGACACAGACAACAGGCACAGACAACAGACACAGACAACAGACACAAACAACAGGCACAAACAACAGGCACAAACAACAGGCACAGACAACAGGCACAGACAACAGGCACAUACAACAGACAACAGGCACAGACAACAGGCACAGACAACAGGCACAUACAACAGACAACAGGCACAGACAACAGGCACAGACAACAGACAACAGGCACAGACAACAGACAACAGGCACAGAUAACAGACAACAGACAACAGACAACAGGCACAGACAACAGGCACAGACAACAG
ensembl:lncRNA